GAUGAACGCUGGCGGCGUGCUUAACACAUGCAAGUCGAACGGAAAGGCCCAAGCUUGCUUGGGUACUCGAGUGGCGAACGGGUGAGUAACACGUGGGUGAUCUGCCCUGCACUUCGGGAUAAGCCUGGGAAACUGGGUCUAAUACCGGAUAGGACGAUGGUUUGGAUGCCAUUGUGGAAAGUUUUUUCGGUGUGGGAUGAGCUCGCGGCCUAUCAGCUUGUUGGUGGGGUAAUGGCCUACCAAGGCGUCGACGGGUAGCCGGCCUGAGAGGGUGUACGGCCACAUUGGGACUGAGAUACGGCCCAGACUCCUACGGGAGGCAGCAGUGGGGAAUAUUGGACAAUGGGCGCAGGCCUGAUGCAGCGACGCCGCGUGGGGGAUGACGGCCUUCGGGUUGUAAACUCCUUUCGCUAGGGACGAAGCGUUUUUGUGACGGUACCUGGAGAAGAAGCACCGGCUAACUACGUG
rnacentral:rRNA from 1 species